rnacentral:rRNA from 1 species
AUGGCUUGCCAUCUUAGAUCAGUUAGUUUGCCUUCUAGGCCUCACACCAAGGUCGAAGAGGAGCUGCACAGCCUAGAGGCAAGCAUCUCUUCACCCUCCAUGACCAUCGAGACAAUCUCUGAUGGUCUGAGGAGGCUUGGAGACAUCUACAGCACCAUUGAAGAGAUCAUGUGCCUUCCUAGCAACCAAAUUUGCUCUUCACAGCAAAGGAAGAUGCUGGAAGGUGAAACCGAGUGCUCCCUUGAGCUACUAGAUCUCUGCAAUGCUAUGCAUGAGGACUUCACCGAGUUGAAGGCCAUUAUCCAAGAUCUGCAAGUGGCGAGCAGAAAAGGAGAUGACGCUGCUGUUCAAAUCAAGAUCCAGUCUUACACCCGCCUGGUGAAGAAGGCGAAGAAACAUUUCAAGAAAGCCGCGAAGAAGGUUACAUCUGACAAGGAGGACUGCAGAAUGGUCAGGCUGUUGAGCGAGGCUAGGGAGAUCACCACCUCUCUCCUCGAGUCAACAGUACACCUCUUGUCCAACAAAUCGCAGUGCCAAAAUGGUCUCUUGUCUCCAAGGCAUUCCAGAAGAAGAACUCGGUUGUUUGCAAGGACGAACAGUUGCAGGUCCUAG